rnacentral:rRNA from 1 species
GGAGGUUGUGCCCUUGAGGCGUGGCUUCCGGAGCUAACGCGUUAAGUCGACCGCCUGGGGAGUACGGCCGCAAGGUUAAAACUCAAAUGAAUUGACGGGGGCCCGCACAAGCGGUGGAGCAUGUGGUUUAAUUCGAUGCAACGCGAAGAACCUUACCUGGUCUUGACAUCCACGGAAGUUUUCAGAGAUGAGAAUGUGCCUUCGGGAACCGUGAGACAGGUGCUGCAUGGCUGUCGUCAGCUCGUGUUGUGAAAUGUUGGGUUAAGUCCCGCAACGAGCGCAACCCUUAUCCUUUGUUGCCAGCGGUCCGGCCGGGAACUCAAAGGAGACUGCCAGUGAUAAA